UCGGUACGCACGACUCUUUUCGAACACGCGCACCGUCACGUAUUCGCAAUCCGCGUCGCUCGCGCCAUCAGAAGCGCCUGUUUAUUCUUGUCUAACUCUCCCCGCGCACCAGGCCUUCAUUUCAGUGCGUCAUGCUUCUCCGUAGUGCGACUCGCUGUGCGCGUGUGUACGGUGGUGGGGUCACCACUGCCUUCGUCCCAGGCAGCAGCAGCUCCUCGAGUGCCUCUGUCGGCGCCGACCACCUCUGUGGGCGAUCCAUCGGUGUCAAGGCGCUUCUCGGUCGCAAGGCACGCCAAGGGAGUCUCUUUGCGGUCGCCAAUGACGUCACUGUGAGCGAGAAGCGUGUUCGGCAGCAACUGAACGCUCUGCUGGCCGACGAGCGCGACCCGCUGGCUGAGGCUCGUCGCCAAAGCAGCGCCGCAGGGGGCGCCGCGCCGUCGGCUCGUCCGUUUCCGCAGCGACCACUGGUGAACCUGCCAGGAGUCGAGCGUGUCCGCGACCUUCCUGCGGACCCGAUCACGCGCCUCUUCUUUCAGCACCAAGGAGACCACGCGCUGUACUACGGCACCUACGAUGAGCCCAGCCGCCUCGAUGAGGACCGCGUGCAGCUGGAGAAACGCGAGCCUAAGGACUGGACCUUCAACGUGCUUACUCCCGUGUACGACUUCUGUCAUCGUCUGCGCGAGGCGUCCGAGCAGCGGAAGCGUUUCGUGAUUGUGCCCUCGACGAUCGAGACACGGGGGUGUGCGAAGGUGCUGCUCGACCACGGCCUCGUCGCCGGCUUUCGCGACUUCCACAAUGACCGUGCCUUCGCUGUCGAGCUGAAGUACUUUCAAAACGAGCCCACAAUCAACGUCAUUGAGCCGUGCAGCUACGAUGGCAAGACAGAGUUCGAAUGGUCGCCCAAGAUGAUGCGGCGCCUCAUGAACACGCACGGCAUCCACAACCGACUCAUCAUCUACAUCUGCCGCACCGCAGACAACCGCAUCAUCGACCACAUCCAAGCAGUGAAGGAGUGCAUCGGCGGACGCGGUUUGAUGAUGGCGCACUAGGCGGACGCUCGUCGGGUUGAUGCUUGUUUGUGUAUGCGCGUGGGUGGGGCGACGAGCAGGUCAACGGAGAAAGUCGUCCCUGCCUGCCAAAAGUGUCCGUGGCAUCUCUGUGGAGAGAGGGGCCCUCGCCAUCGCCAGCCAUUCCGCCCACAAUGGCUGCGGAAGAGCUCAUCCAAGGCUCGCUCGCAGGCUCGCAUGCCUUGUGGUUGCUGUUGUUGUCGUUUCGUUGCCCACCUUGUAUGUCUGUGUGCGUGUGUCUGGCCGUAACUUAACGUAGAAGCGCAUAUAAGCUCACUUGUGCAUACGAAUGGUGGGAUGCAUGCCGGCAUCACUCGCCCACUCUCCAUCGAUCCCAUCCCUGCCCUGCCCUACCCCGCCUCCCCCACCUUGUGCGUCUUGGAGCAGCUGGUAAGCGGGUGCGCCCCCUGGUGCCCUGCCGAUCUCUGCGUAGGGCAGCGCUUCUGUCUGCCGUGGUGAUCGGCAAGUCAGAGUAUGAGGCGAAGAGAGCGCGCGCGAGACGCAGUGGUGGUGGCGGCGCCGAGGGAAUGAAGCGUGGUACAGCGGGAGGGGCAAGCGUUAUCAUGCGCGGCACUCCUCCCUGCCACGCGCCGCUCAUCUCUUUUGGUCAGCUCCUGCAAUCAUGAUCAUUGUCACCAAAACACACCGACACACACGCACACACACACACACACACCUCGGCACCCUCUCUCCCCUCACAUAUGCAAUUAU
rnacentral:misc_RNA from 1 species